CUGAGGAUAAUACUGGAUAGGCAAUUUUUCCUGUAAUGGUUUUUUGUUUAAAUGUUUUUUCGCCUAAGGAUGGGUCUGCGGCCGAUUAGGUAGUUGGUUAGGUAACGGCUUACCAAGCCAUUGAUCGGUACGGGUUGUGAGAGCAAGAGCCCGGAGAUGGAACCUGAGACAAGGUUCCAGGCCCUACGGGGUGCAGCAGGCGCGAAACCUCCGCAAUGUGAGAAAUCGCGACGGGGGGAUCCCAAGUGCCAUUCUUAACGGGAUGGCUUUUCAUUAGUGUAAAGAGCUUUUGGAAUAAGGGCUGGGCAAGACCGGUGCCAGCCGCCGCGGUAACACCGGCAGCUCUAGUGGUAGCAGUUUUUAUUGGGCCUAAAGCGUCCGUAGCCGGUUUAAUAAGUCUCUGGUGAAAUCCUGUAGCUUAACUGUGGGAAUUGCUGGAGAUACUAUUAGACUUGAGACCGGGAGAGGUUAGAGGUACUCCCAGGGUAGAGGUGAAAUUCUGUAAUCCUGGGAGGACCGCCUGUUGCGAAGGCGUCUAACUGGAACGGUUCUGACGGUGAGGGACGAAAGUUAGGGGCGCGAACCGGAUUAGAUACCCGGGUAGUCCUAACUGUAAACGAUGCGGACUUGGUGUUGGGGUGGCUUUGAGCUGCUCCAGUGCCGAAGGGAAGCUGUUAAGUCUGCCGCCUGGGAAGUACGGUCGCAAGACUGAAACUUAA
rnacentral:rRNA from 1 species